UACCAGCUCUUCGAGUGGUGUGGAUGUUUAUUGGGCCUAAAGCAUCCGUAGCUGGCUGGGCAAGUCCCCUGUUAAAUCCACCGAUUUAAUCGUUGGAGUGCGGGGGAUACUGUUCGGCUAGGGGACGGGAGAGGCAGACGGUAUUUUCGGGGUAGGGGUGAAAUCCUAUAAUCCCGGGAAGACCACCAGUGGCGAAGGCUGUCUGCUAGAACGCGCCCGACGGUGAGGGAUGAAAGCUGGGGGAGCGAACCGGAUUAGAUACCCGGGUAGUCCCAGCUGUAAACGAUGCAGGCUAGGUGUUUGGGCGGCCACGUGCCGCUCUAGUGCCGCAGGGAAGCCGUUAAGCCUGCCGCCUGGGGAGUACGGCCGCAAGGCUGAAACUUAAAGGAAUUGGCGGGGGAGCACCACAAGGGUGAAGCUUGCGGUUU
rnacentral:rRNA from 1 species